rnacentral:rRNA from 1 species
GCGAUCCCAGGUCAGGCGGGCCACCCGC